rnacentral:lncRNA from 12 species
AGAGACCCCUCCAGGGCCCUACAGGGAUCCCUCACCUCCAGCCCAGCACAAACCAGCCUUGCUGUGCGUGAACGCGCGUGAGCAUGUGUGCGUGUGCUGCAGGCACAGCCAUCAGAAGGCUGCUGCUCCCAGCUUUCCCCAUCCAUCCACGGAUCGUUGCAUUUUGCCCCCAAAACAAAUAUUUGCCUUUGACCUCAGUGGUCCUGCCUGUGAAACUGAGCUACGACUGGACCUCAGACUAUUCAGGACCCACGGGAAAGGGUCCGGUUCCCACCAGGAGUUGCAAUUUCAACCACCGGACUGUGGUUAGAACCAGGCACCUACCGAACGAGCAACUGACCUGUGCCUCAGGUCCUGAGCCUGAGUUUCAUAGUCCUGUCUCAACUGCCCAGCAGUAUAAGAAGAUAGACAAACACCAGGGCCCACUGCCUCUUCCUGCCGUCUUGCCUCCACAGGAGGCAGAAGAGAUAAACCCCAACACUGAGUCUUACUAAGCUUCCCAGGAGGCUAUCAUGGAGUUCAUAUGUGACAUCGCAACGCCAAACACUCCUGGGAGAUGGGGGAGGGGGAGGCCUUAUCUUAUUCAGCCCAAAAUUUCACAGCAGGACCAAGGGUUUGGUCCCAGAAAGCAUACAAAAUCAGGUGUGGCACAACUCUCAGACUGAGGGCCCCACCAACGAGCUUCCCAGAGCUCAGCAAAGCAACUGACCCACCGCUAAUCCAAAUACCAACAACAAACCACAUGCUAACCCAAACCCUACCCGACUCUUACCCUCUUUGUUAACACCACAACUGGAUUCCAGCCCAAGACUCAUCUAGCCCCAUGCUGACACUAAAUACCUCAAACAUUAACUCUACCUCCAAUCUAUCCUGCGCUGCACUCAGCCCUAACUUUGACUCCAAUUCCAACAUCACCCUAGGUCAAAGGAAAGACAGAAAGGAAUGGUCUCCAGGGAGAAAACCACACUGCCCCACAAUCCAGUGGCUUUGACCGACAGCUGUCUACAAUUUGUAACUUGAAAUGUGCCUUGAGAAAUUGUCCUUUGGGUUUAAAAUCUAUAGGAGACUAUUGCCAUUAUUAAAGGAUUUAAUACACAGAAAUCUAUUUGGAAAGAAUCAGACCUUGGAAGUCCAUAGCUGAGAAAUAGAGGCAUUUUAGUUAUUUCCUCUGCAAACAGCAGACUGGGAUGAGAGUUCUUCUACCCCAAAACCUGAGCUGCCAGGAGUCAUCAGGAAAUGGAAUUAUCUUCAAUUUAUAAAUGCUGAAUAAUUGCCAGCUUCUAAGGAGAGAGAAGAUAUAUAGAAGAGUUCAAAGGAGAAGCUAGAUUUUUAAAGAGCAUGUCUCAUCCUGACUUAAUGUCCAGCCUCAUUCCCCACCCUGGGAGGCUGGUUAGGGGUACCCAGCCUUGGGCCCCUUGGCGACAGAGCUAAAUGUGAGGCAGGGAAAGUGGGAUUUCAGAGGAUGAGGCCCCAGCCAAGUUCCAGAGCUGUGCG